rnacentral:rRNA from 1 species
UACAGAGGUCUCAAGCGUUGUUCGGAUUCAUUGGGCGUAAAGGGUGCGUAGGCGGCGCGGUAAGUCGGGUGUGAAAUCUCGGAGCUUAACUCCGAAACUGCAUUCGAUACUGCCGUGCUUGAGGACUGGAGAGGAGACUGGAAUUUACGGUGUAGCGGUGAAAUGCGUAGAUAUCGUAAGGAAGACCAGUGGCGAAGGCGGGUCUCUGGACAGUUCCUGACGCUGAGACGCGAAAGCGUGGGGGAGCAAACAGG